rnacentral:rRNA from 1 species
UCCGUAGGCGGUGUGGCAAGUCGGAAGUGAAAUCUCUGGGCUUAACUCAGAGGCUGCUUCCGAAACUGCCGUGCUAGAGUGCGAGAGAGGCAAGUGGAAUUGCGGGUGUAGCGGUGAAAUGCGUAGAUAUCCGCAGGAACAUCCGAGGCGAAAGCGGCUUGCUGGAUCGCAACUGACGCUGAGGGACGAAAGGCUAGGGGAGCAAACAGGAUUAGAUACCCUGGUAGUCCUAGCCCUAAACCAUCAGGACUUGGGGUUUGCCCUGUACGGGGCAAGUCCCGUAGCUAACGCGUUAAGUCCUGCGCCUGGGGAGUACGGUCGCAAGGCUGAA